GGGUGAUUAGCUCAGCUGGGAGAGCACCUCCCUUACAAGGAGGGGGUUGGCGGUUCGAUCCCGUCAUCACCCACCA
rnacentral:tRNA from 6 species